rnacentral:rRNA from 1 species
GUGGGGAAUAUUGGACAAUGGGCGCAAGCCUGAUCCAGCCAUGCCGCGUGAGUGAUGAAGGCCCUAGGGUUGUAAAGCUCUUUCGCCAGGGACGAUAAUGACGGUACCUGGAUAAGAAGCCCCGGCUAACUUCGUGCCAGCAGCCGCGGUAAUACGAAGGGGGCUAGCGUUGUUCGGAAUCACUGGGCGUAAAGCGCACGUAGGCGGGUCUUUAAGUCAGGGGUGAAAUCCCGAGGCUCAACCUCGGAACUGCCUUUGAUACUGGGGAUCUCGAGUCCGGGAGAGGUGAGUGGAACUGCGAGUGUAGAGGUGAAAUUCGUAGAUAUUCGCAGGAACACCAGUGGCGAAGGCGGCUGACUGGUCCAUUACUGACGCUGAGGUGCGAAAGCGUGGGGAGCAAACAGGAUUAGAUACCCCAGUAGUCC